AAUUUGGCACAGAAGAGAAGUAGUAGGCAUCAGCAUUGCUCAUAGAGAGUCAUCGGCCGGUGGAAGAUGGCAGCAGUGUAUUCCGAACUCGUCUCAGAGCUGUUAGGGUGAAAUGGAUUUAGUAGCUCUAGCCGGAUUCAAUCCGUUAUCAUGUUUGAGGGGGCAGUGAAAAGCUGUCAAAUAGAGUGGUACCGCGAGCCUUUCGUCUCUAAA
rnacentral:ncRNA from 1 species